UACGUAGGGUGCAAGCGUUAAUCGGAAUUACUGGGCGUAAAGCGUGCGCAGGCGGUUCUAUAAGACAGAUGUGAAAUCCCCAGGCUUAACCUGGGAACUGCAUUCGAGACUGCAUUGCUAGAGUAUGGGAGAGGGAAGUGGAAUUUCCGGUGUAGCGGUGAAAUGCGUAGAUAUCGGAAGGAACAUCAGUGGCGAAAGCGACUUCCUGGACCAAUACUGACGCUCAUGUGCGAAAGCGUGGGGAGCAAACAGG
rnacentral:rRNA from 1 species